AAGUCGUAACAAGGUUUCCGUAGGUGAACCUGCGGAAGGAUCAUUAACAAUUUUACUUUCCACAAAAAGUGAUGGGCUCGGAUUUCUGAGCUCCAUCCUUUUACCCCUUAAUAAGCGAACUUGUUAUUACCAUUUUCGAGAUUGAAGGAAUAAUAGGCGGUAGCUUAUGCUGCAGCUGUUCUUCCUUCAUUCUUUUUUCUUUUUCCUUUUUAACCCAAUGAAUCCUAAUUUGACUGAAUCUUGUCUUUUUUCUUUGGUUUAACCACCAAAGCAAAGGACACAAAACGUUAAUGAAAAAACAACUCUUAACAACGGAUAUCUUGGCUCUC
rnacentral:misc_RNA from 1 species